GGAAUCUUCGGCAAUGGGGGCAACCCUGACCGAGCAACGCCGCGUGAGUGAAGAAGGUUUUCGGAUCGUAAAGCUCUGUUGUAAGUCAAGAACGGGUGUGAGAGUGGAAAGUUCACACUGUGACGGUAGCUUACCAGAAAGGGACGGCUAACUACGUGCCAGCAGCCGCGGUAAUACGUAGGUCCCGAGCGUUGUCCGGAUUUAUUGGGCGUAAAGCGAGCGCAGGCGGUUUGAUAAGUCUGAAGUUAAAGGCUGUGGCUCAACCAUAGUUCGCUUUGGAAACUGUCAAACUUGAGUGCAGAAGGGGAGAGUGGAAUUCCAUGUGUAGCGGUGAAAUGCGUAGAUAUAUGGAGGAACACCGGUGGCGAAAGCGGCCCUCUGGUCUGUAACUGACGCUGAGGCUCGAAAGCGUGGGGAGCGAACAGGAUUAGAUACCCCUGGUA
rnacentral:rRNA from 1 species